rnacentral:lncRNA from 1 species
GAAAAUAGCAAGAGAGUACAUAAAACUCUACUUUGUGAGCUUUAAUUCAGAAGAAAAAAUGGGAAUCCACUUGGAUCAUGAAAGACACCCCAGAUCCUGUGGGGGGAAUGACACCAAACAGCCCCAUGAUGGCGUCUGGCUGAUAGAGACUGAAACCCCAUGUGCUAGAGAGGCAGUGAGCCUCCUUCUGUGACUCACCUUUCCACUGGGAGCCUGAGCAACCUAGGCAGACAGACGACACUUUGUUUCUCCCAAGCUCUGGAGGUAAGGUGGAAGAGGCUUGGCGAUGCUACGAGGGAAAGACACCAGGAAAUGCUGCAGAUAUUUUCCUAGGCCCAGGACUGAAAGCAGUACACCAUUUUAAAUCUGGGCACACACACAUCAGGCACUCAUAGGAGACCCAGCAAAGUGACCAUGCAGGCAUUUUGGACUCAGGCCGGAGAUUGGAGCACCUGCUCUGGAGCUGGGCAGGGGUCUCCAUAGCCAGAACUGUGGAAAGCACCUCAGCAGUAGGUGCUGGAAUUGUGCUCUCCCCAUCAUAACCCUGGGACAGGAAGAAAACUGCCCUACUUACAGCUCAUGGGUGCUGAGGCUUGAAGCCAGGGCCAGCCAGGCAAUUUGGAACUGACAUGCAUAUGACAUC